rnacentral:tRNA from 1 species
GGGGGCGUAGCAUAACCUGGUAGUGCAGCUGGCUCCAGACCAGCGGAUUCGGGUUCGAAUCCCGCCGUCCCCA